GCCGGGUUAGCUCACUGGCAGAGCGCUGCCCUGAAGAGGCAGGCGUACCCAGUUCGAUUCUGGGACCCGGCACAA
rnacentral:tRNA from 1 species